UGUGGGAGCGGGCUUGCCCGCGAUGACAAUGGAUCAUUCAACAACGUUGUUGAAUGUGAUUCCGCUAUCGCGGGCAAGCCCGCUCCCACA
rnacentral:misc_RNA from 1 species